UACAGAGGUCUCAACCGUUGUUCGGAUUCAUUGGGCGUAAAGGGUGCGUAGGCGGUCGGGUAAGUCGGAUGUGAAAUCUCAGGGCUCAACCCUGAAACUGCAUUCGAUACUGCCUGGCUAGGGUACUGGAGAGGAGACUGGAAUUUACGGUGUAGCAGUGAAAUGCGUAGAGAUCAUGAGGAAGACCAGUGGCGAAGGCGGGUCUCUGGACAGUUCCUGACACUGAGGCACGAAGGCCAGGGGAGCAAACGGG
rnacentral:rRNA from 1 species